GACAUAGGUGGCAAACGUUAUCCGGAAUCACUGGGCGUAAAGGGCGCGUAGGUGGCGACCCAAGUCAAUGGUGAAAGCUCGCCGCUCAACGGCGAGUCGGCCACUGAUACUGGGUUGCUGGAGCACUGUAGAGGCAGAUGGAAUUCCGGGUGUAGCGGUGGAAUGCGUAGAUAUCGUAAGGAAGACCAGUGGCGAAGGCGGGUCUCUGGACAGUUCCUGACGCUGGAGGCGCGAAAGCUAGGGGAGCGAACGGG
rnacentral:rRNA from 1 species